rnacentral:lncRNA from 1 species
CUGGGGAUUUGUAAUUCACUCCUUUUGUGUACGCAUACUUUUUAAAUCAGUUUCAUCUACUGCUCCUUACUUUUCUUUUUUUCUUUUUUUUAAGUUUGAAUUUAGGCUAGUAAUUGCAUAUAAAGAUAUGACUUGCUACAUUGCGGGGUAGAUGUCUGCUGGAGUAAAGCCAGCGGUGCAGAUUGCAGGCUUGAACUUUUAUAAUAAUUCAUAAUUUAGGCAUAUUUAACAAAGGGAAGCUUAAGAACUGUUCAGAAUUAGAUUCAAUUAUUUUAUCUUUUUUGUGUGGCUUGCUUUCUAUUGAGGUUUUCAAACUUUUAAUGAUCCUGUUUUCUCCCUUCUUCCCACAUUCACAGAGCCAUUUGGGAGACACUAUUGCUAAGGAGCUUUUAUGAGUGCAAAAGGGGAUACGUUUGUGAGCAGAGCUGAGGUCUGGGAAAACCGUUAGGCAAAUGCAGGACAUCAGGAGCUGUGCUGCCCCACCUCAGCUGCCCCGUUUGGGGAUUACGUCCUGUCCUGCCACGCGACAGUGCUCUCCACUCUCCGCACGGCUCUGCUGUGGUCUGCGCCUCCUCAGCCCAUCCAGCUUUAUGUUUCUGUGUAGCUUCUCAGGAAGUAGCAGUUUUGAAGGUCUGGGUCAUUUUGCCCGUGGUUCUAGACAUUUGAAAGUGGUCACUUUUCUGAUCUAUGCUCAUUUAUUAGGCAAUCCAAUGAUGUCCCUGUGACUGCAGGAUUUUCUGGGAUACAAUGUGUGCUUCCACCUCUUUCAAUUCAUGUGACAGGCAAGAUGAAAGAUAACGGAGAAUGAUUUGAGGAAGAAUUGCUAGGAAUAAGGAACAACAGAGAUCAUGAAGGAAAAAGGUGCCUUUACUCCCAAGGAUGAUGCCAAGUGUCUUAAAACUAGACAACUUUUUCGUAUGUCAAAGUCAAAACUGGAGUUUUUGUUUGUCCUCUAACUUGACCAGGUUAAAAAGUAUAUUUGAAUCCAACCUAAUAAAAUGCUACGUUGUGAAUUUUGGAGACCCUGU